rnacentral:rRNA from 1 species
GACGAACGCUGGCGGCGUGCUUAACACAUGCAAGUCGAACGGAAAGGCCCCUUUGGGGGUACUCGAGUGGCGCACGGGUGAGUAACACGUGAGUAACCUGCCCUUGACUUCGGGAUAACUUCAGGAAACUGGGGCUAAUACCGGAUAGGAAUCCUUGCUGCAUGGUGGGGGUUGGAAAGCUUCGGCGGUUUUGGAUGGACUCGCGGCUUAUCAGCUUGUUGGUGGGGUAGUGGCUUACCAAGGCUUUGACGGGUAGCCGGCCUGAGAGGGCGACCGGCCACAUUGGGACUGAGAUACGGCCCAGACUCCUACGGGAGGCAGCAGUGGGGAAUAUUGCACAAUGGGCGGAAGCCUGAUGCAGCAACGCCGCGUGCGGGAUGACGGCCUUCGGGUUGGAAACCGCUUUCAGCAGGGGCGAAGCUUGUGGUGACGGUACCUGCAGAAGAAGCACCGGCUAACUACGUG